AUGCCUGUCCGUGAUAUCAUUCU
rnacentral:siRNA from 1 species